rnacentral:rRNA from 1 species
GACGAACGCUGGCGGCGUGCUUAACACAUGCAAGUCGAACGAUGAAGAAAAGAAUCGAAGCUUCGGCAGAAAUUCAUUUCGGAUUAGUGGCAGACGGGUGAGUAACGCGUGAGCAACCUACCUCUUACAAAGGGAUAGCCUCGGGAAACCGGGAUUAAUACCAUAUAACAUUGCGACGAAGCAUUUCGCUGCAAUCAAAGCUACGGCGGUAAGAGAUGGGCUCGCGUCCCAUUAACCGGAUGGUGAGGUAACGGCGCACCAUAGUGACGAUGGGUAACCGGGCUGAGAGGGUGAACGGUCACACUGGAACUGGGACACGGUCCAGACUCCUACGGGAGGCAGCAGUGGGGAAUAUUGCACAAUGGAGGGAACUCUGAUGCAGCGACGGCGCGUGAGUGAUGAAGGAAUUCGUUUCGUAAAACUCUGUUCUAUGGGAAGAAAAGGACGGUACCAAAGGAGAAAGCUCCGGCUAAAUACGUG